rnacentral:rRNA from 1 species
UACGGGGGGAGCAAGCGUUGUUCGGAUUUACCGGGCGUAAAGGGCGCGUAGGCGGCCACCGCAAGUCGAUUGUGAAAUCUCCGGGCUUAACCCGGAAAGGUCAACCGAUACUGCGGGGCUAGAGUGCAGAAGGGGCAACUGGAAUUCUCGGUGUAGCGGUGAAAUGCGUAGAUAUCGAGAGGAACACCUGCGGCGAAGGCGGGUUGCUGGGCUGACACUGACGCUGAAGUGCGAAAGCUAGGGGAGCGAACGGG